AUUGAACGCUGGCGGCAUGCCUUACACAUGCAAGUCGAACGGUAACGGGCCUUCGGGUGCCGACGAGUGGCGAACGGGUGAGUAAUGCAUCGGAACGUACCUUUCAGUGGGGGAUAACGUAGCGAAAGUUACGCUAAUACCGCAUAUUCUGUGAGCAGGAAAGCAGGGGAUCGCAAGACCUUGCGCUGAUUGAGCGGCCGAUGUCAGAUUAGCUAGUUGGUGAGGUAAAGGCUCACCAAGGCGACGAUCUGUAGCGGGUCUGAGAGGAUGAUCCGCCACACUGGAACUGAGACACGGUCCAGACUCCUACGGGAGGCAGCAGUGGGGAAUUUUUGGGACAAUGGGGGCAACCCUGAUCCAGCCAUGCCGCGUGAGUGAAGAAGGCCUCGGUUGUAAG
rnacentral:rRNA from 1 species